rnacentral:rRNA from 1 species
CAAUAGCGUAUAUUAAAGUUGUUGCGGUUAAAAAGCUCGUAGUUGGAGUUCUGCCAGGUGACACUCGUCCGCCCAAGUGGUGUGUACAGGGUGUGCAUCUGGCCCUUUCAAGGGGAACGUGUCUGCACUUCAUUGUGUGGUGCGAGAUCCUUGACUUUUACUUUGAGGAAAUAAGAGUGUUCCAAGCAGGCUCUCGUCGUGCAUAGCUCAGCAUGGAAUAAUAGCAUUGGACUUCGUUUCUACGCUGUUGGUUGCAAGAAGCGAGGUAAUGAUGAAGAGGGAUAGUUGGGGGCAUUCGUAUUUAACUGUCAGAGGUAAAAUUCUUGGAUUUGUUAAAGACGGACUACUGCGAAAGCAUCUGCCAUGGAUGUUUUCAUUGA